UGGGGAAUAUUGGACAAUGGGCGAAAGCCUGAUCCAGCCAUGCCGCGUGUGUGAAGAAGGUCUUCGGAUUGUAAAGCACUUUAAGUUGGGAGGAAGGGCAGUAAGCGAAUACCUUGCUGUUUUGACGUUACCGACAGAAUAAGCACCGGCUAACUCUGUGCCAGCAGCCGCGGUAAUACAGAGGGUGCAAGCGUUAAUCGGAAUUACUGGGCGUAAAGCGCGCGUAGGUGGUUCGUUAAGUUGAAUGUGAAAGCCCCGGGCUCAACCUGGGAACUGCAUCCAAUACGUGCGGGCUAGAGUAGGGCAGAGGGUGGUGGAAUUUCCUGUGUAGCGGGGAAAUGCGUAGAUAUAGGAAGGAACACCAGUGGCGAAGGCGACCACCUGGGCUCAUACUGACACUGAGGUGCGAAAGCGUGGGGAGCAAACAGG
rnacentral:rRNA from 1 species